rnacentral:rRNA from 1 species
GGGAAACCCAGUGUGACUCGUCACACUAUCAUUAACUGAAUCCAUAGGUUAAUGAGGCGAACCGGGGGAACUGAAACAUCUAAGUACCCCGAGGAAAAGAAAUCAACCGAGAUUCCCCCAGUAGCGGCGAGCGAACGGGGAGGAGCCCAGAGCCUGAAUCAGCAUGUGUGUUAGUGGAAGCGUCUGGAAAGGCGCGCGAUACAGGGUGACAGCCCCGUACACAAAAGCGCAUGUGCUGUGAGCUCGAUGAGUAGGGCGGGACACGUGGUAUCCUGUCUGAAUAUGGGGGGACCAUCCUCCAAGGCUAAAUACUCCUGACUGACCGAUAGUGAACCAGUACCGUGAGGGAAAGGCGAAAAGAACCCCGGCGAGGGGAGUGAAAAAGAACCUGAAACCGUGUACGUACAAGCAGUGGGAGCACAGGUUUACCUGUGUGACUGCGUACCUUUUGUAUAAU